UUAUAUUACUAAAUCUUAAUUUCUUAAAUUUUUAAUAUUAAUUACUACAAUUUAUAUUAAUUAUUAUUAAAAUAAUCAAAAUUUAAUACUAAAAUUUAUAUGUAAAAUAAAUUUAUAAUAAAUUAUGAAAAACAUAAAAAUUUUAUC
rnacentral:rRNA from 1 species